AUUGAACGCUAGCGGCAGGCCUAACACAUGCAAGUCGAGCGGAGCGGCGAACGGGUGAGUAAUGCCUCGGAAUCUGCCUAGUAGUGGGGGAUAACGACCGGAAACGGUCGCUAAUACCGCAUACUAUCGGAUGAGCCUAUAUCGGAUUAGCUAGUUGGUGGGGUAAAGGCUUACCAAGGCUACGAUCCGUAACUGGGCUGAGAGGAUGAUCAGUCACACUGGAACUGAGACACGGUCCAGACUCCUACGGGAGGCAGCAGUGGGGAAUAUUGGACAAUGGGCGAAAGCCUGAUCCAGCCAUGCCGCGUGUGUGAAGAAGGUCUUCGGAUUGUAAAGCACUUUAAGUAGGGAGGCGUUACCAACAGAAUAAGCACCGGCUAACUACGUGCCAGCAGCCGCGGUAAUAC
rnacentral:rRNA from 1 species